ACCUACUAAUUUUACCCUCAGAGAAAGAGAGAGUCUUUGGAGAGUUGUGAGGAGAUAAGUGACAUAAACUGGCAUGUUCUGAAAGAAUCACUCUGGAUGCUAUGUGGAGAAAACACUGAAAAGGGUUUGAAAUGGAAAUUACAAGCGCGAUAUUACAGAAGUGUGGAUUUUAGUUACAAUGUCUCUAUGAGAAAAGUCUAAAAGUUAAACAUAAGCAAAACAACAAAAACAUCUAAAUACCAGGAAUUUGUUAUCUCGAUUAUGGAGGGCGACAAGUCCCACAGUCUGCCAUCUGCAGGAUGGAGAACCAGUCUGUUUCCUUCUUCUCCAUUCCACAUAUUAUAAUGUGGCAACUACAUAACUCAUAAUUACAGUCUUUAUAGGGGGAGAAUAAUUGACUCCAUUCAAGUGUUCGCUCCUGUUUCAAUCAACUAUGGCUGAAGAGUGAGGAGACAUUUGGAAUAAAUAUGGCUUCUGGGGGCCCAUUCCUAUGGAUCAGCAGCUGGCUUCUGGAGGCCCAUUCCUGUGAAUCGUCGAUCUCAUAGAAGAUAAUAUUGUUAGAAGGCUUACCUCAUUGAUGCUGAACAUCCUAAAAAGCUUCUGCUGCUUUGAGUCACUGAAAAAGACCAAGAAACAUGAAUUUAAAAAAAAAUUUCAAAUGUUAUAAAAUAAAUAAUAUGAACUCAUUAUACCUACAAUGAAUAAUUUAAAUUCUUCUUUGGUAGUCCAGGUAAAUAUUUUCUCAAAUAGAUUUUUUUAAGCAUCUGUAUAAGUUCAAGAUGUACAUCACUUCAUGUAGAAUAACAUCUCCUAAAAAGAACUGAAAUGCCUCAGGAUACAACCAGCUGACCUGGCUAUCAAACACUUAUUUAGCACAUAUUACAUGAUGGACACUUUGAUGUAGAUACGGACCUUGGGUUGUGUCCUCAAGGAUCAUACAGUGGGUUGAGGAAAUAGGAUAUGCUAUCCAUAGGAAAGUAAAUAAUAAUAUGACAGCUUAUUUUCAAUGAGAAGUGAAUAGUACAAAGAAUAAGAGUUGCCAGAUUUCAAAAGGAAAGAGCUAUCACACAGAGGCGGAACAAUUAGAAAUUUUUCAUGAAGGAAGUGUUCUUUGUGCUGGACCUUGGAGAAAGUAUAGAAUGUAGAUUAGCAAAAAGGCAUGGAAAAGGCAUGAUAGGUAGGAGAGACAAGUUAGGCAAAGGUCCAUUAGAAUUGCUCAAGAUAUAAUAGACCAACUUGGCCUGAAAAAGGCCUGGAAGUAUCCUCUUUUGUGCUCUGUGAGAAGUUUGCCACCAUGUAAAAAGUCUAACUACCCUAAGGCAACCAUGCUCUGAGAAGCCCAACCUAUCCAGGUGGAGAGGUCCUGUAGAGAAUUGAGGCCACUGGCCCUGAGCUCCCAGUUGAAAUAGACAAUAUCAACAUGUCAGCAGGGUGAAUGAGACCAUCUUGGAAGUGGGUCCUCCAAGAGUAGUUGAGCCAUCCUGCCUAAAUUUCAGCAUUUUGAGCAAAUAAAUGAUUUAUACCAUUUUAAAUCACUAUAUUUUUGAGUGAAUCACUGACUUUUUUCUUAAUUAAGCAUGGGUUUAGAAACUAUGAAAACCCUAGAAGAAAACCUAGGCAAUGCCAUUCAGGACAUAGGCACGGACAAAGAUUUCAUGACGAAGACGCCAAAAACAACUGCAACAAAAGCAAAAAUUGACAGAUGGGAUCUCAUUAAACUAAAGAGCUUCCAUACAUCAAAAGAAGCUACGAUGAGAGUGAACAGACAACCUACAGAAUGGGAGAAAAAUUUUGCAAUCUGUUCAUCUGACAAAGGUCUAAUAUCCAGCAUCUACAAGGAACUUAAAUAAAUUUACAAGAAAAAAAACAAACCCAUUAGAAAAUGGGCAAAGGACAUGAAAAGAUACUUCUCAAAAGACAUACAUGUGGCCAACAAUCAUAAAAAAAAAAACCUCAACAUCACUGAUGAUUAGAAAAAUGCUAAUCAAAACCACAACGAGAUACCAUCUCAUACCUGUCAGAAUGGCUAUUAAUAAAAAGUUAAAAAACAA